rnacentral:rRNA from 1 species
AAAGCAGUGAUGCAGAGCAAAUCCCCAAAAGCAGUCUUAGUUCGGAUUGUAGGCUGCAACUCGCCUGCAUGAAGUCGGAAUUGCUAGUAAUCGCGGAUCAGCAUGCCGCGGUGAAUACGUUCCCGGGCCUUGUACACACCGCCCGUCAAACCAUGAGAGCUGGAAACACCCGAAGCUGGUAGCCUAACCGCAAGGGGGGCGCCAUCGAAGGUGGGGCUAGUGAUUAGGGUUAAGUCGUAACAAGGUACC